rnacentral:rRNA from 1 species
CCUACGGGUGGCAGCAGUGGGGGAUAUUGCACAAUGGGCGGAACCCUGAUCCAGCGACGCCGCGUGGGUGAAGAAGCGCCUCGGCGCGUAAAGCCCUUUCAGCAGGGAAGAAAAUGACGGUACCUGAACCAGAAGCCCCGGCUAACUACGUGCCAGCAGCCGCGGUAAUACGUAGGGGGCAAGCGUUAUCCGGGUUUACUGGGUGUAACGGGGGCGCAGACGGCGGUGAAAGCCAGGAGUGAAAGCCCGCGGCCCAGCCCCGGGACUGCUCUUGGAACUGCGUGGCUGGAGUGCAGGAGGGGUAGGCGGAAUUCGUGGUGUAGCGGUGAAAUGCGUAGAUAUCAGGAGGAACACCAGUGGCGAAGGCAGAUUGCUGGACAGUAACUGACGCUGAGGCGCGAAAGCGUGGGUAGCAAACAGGAUUAGAUACCCUAGUAGUC